rnacentral:sRNA from 1 species
AGUUGCUUAUGCAGUCGGCCGGCCCGCUGGUCGAUGACGCAACUGUUCCCCUCUGGAGGUUUUGAAGACCUUCAUGACUACGGCCACCGUCACGAGCGGUGGCUUUUU